UAGAAGUUUAUUUCACUUUUCUCCCCAAAGGAGCUGCUCUUGAAUGUGCAUGGACACCUUUUCCCUGCCUAGGACGUGUCCAAAAAAGAAGCAAUGCUGGGCAGAAUAUCAGAACAUUCAUUAAGCCAAGAGAUGAUAGUGCAUACAGAUGCAUAAUGAAUAAGAACAUGCAACUCCAAAUCCUGAAUGGCUGCUAUAUCUCCAGACAUGAGGAAGGGAAAAAAGCACUGAAUGCCAGAGCCAUUGUUAUCAUUUGGCAGGGAAGCAGAAACAUUCCUAAAACCUCUUGGCUAAAUUCUGCCAAUAUAAAAGGACAUUGGAAGCAUUCUGAAUCCUCAAGAUGAGCACUUUGCAAUAAAUAAAAGUUUAAUGAAACCCAGUUUCGGCAACAAUGCUGUAUUAGUUCGUUCUCACACUGCUAUGAAGAAAUACUCAAGACUGCGUAAUUUAUAAAGAAAAGUUUAAUUGACUCACAGUUCUGCAUGGCUGGGGAGCCCUCAGGAAACUUACAAUCAUGGCAGAAGGCACGUCUUCACAGGGCAGCAGGAGAAAGAAUGAGUACCAGCAGGGGAAAUGCCAGAUGCUUACAAAACCGUCAGAUCUUGUGAGAACUCACUUACUAUCUGGAGAACACCAUGGGAGAAAAUGCCCCCAUGAUCUAAUUACCUUCACCUCGUCCUGCCCUUGACACAUGGGGCUUAUGAGGAUUACAAUUCAAGGGGAGAUCUGGAUGAGAACACAGAACCAAACCAUAUCAGAUGCCCCAAAACAAACUUUUGUGUACUUCUUGCUGAAGAAAUGCAAAGCUUGACCACUUCUGACCACCUUGACUGCUACCUACCCGGUCCAGGCCAAUGCCUUCUAUUAUCUUAUCAUUGCAAUAGCCUCCUAACUAGUCUCCUUGCUGCUGCUCUGUACUCUACAGUGGAAGAUCCAGAACAGAUAAAGUCAUCCUUUUAGGACUUCAAUCAGAUCAUGCUGCUCCUCUGUUCAAAACCCUUCAAUGAGAUCCCUUCUUCACUGCAGUAAAGCUGAACUCAAAGUCCUUACAAUGGCCCACAACACCAUUUGUUGGACUCAAGAUGUCUCUAACCAUAGCUCCUACUAAUAUUUUCUCUAUCUUCCCUGCUUCAGCCUUGUGGACCUCUCUGCAUUUGUCUGAACAUACCAGAGACACUUCUGUCUCAGCAGGACCUUUGUACUGGCUAUUCCCUUUAUUUGGGAUUCUCUUGUCCCCUGAACUCAUAUGGUUCAUUCCUCCCCUCCUUAAGUGGGAGCUUAAAGGAUAGAGUUCAACGAGGCCUUCCUGGCCACUUUAUUUAGAAUUGCAACUUUCUAUACCAUUGAUCCUUACUAUUCCUCUUCCUGGCUUUGUUUUUUUCUAUAAUUCUUAUCAUUAUCUGAUAUAUAGUGUAUUUUAUUUAAUUUAUACAUUAACAUAUUAUCUGUUUACCAUCUCCUAGAUGGUAAGCUACAAGAGAGCACAAAUUAAUGUCUGUUUUGUUCACUGCUAUUAUAUCCUCAGAGGGUAUAAGUGUGCAUAGCACUUAACAAAAUCUAAUAAAUAUUUAUUGAAUUAAUAGGUAAAUUCUUUAACAGGUGCUUGUAGAUAUAAGAGCAUGGUGCUUACUAUACUUAUACACUGGACAACACAAAACUGAUUCUGACAGCUCUCCAAUAUCGAUAGAUUUCUAAUCAAUAUUAUUCAACAAAGUUCUUCAGAUAAGAAGUGGAGUGAGUUCUGCCUCUUCUGGAUUUCCUUCACAAUACAGGGGAGUUUGAUUAUAGUUAUAUGGGGUUGUUACAAAGCCACUGGAGUCCAUCUCUGGAACAUUUUUCAUACUUAUAUUUGACUUUCCAGUCUUAAGGCAAUUGCCCUAGAUUCUGGUCUCAUUAACUCUCAGCUUUUUUAUGACAGUAACUUCAUAACUGGCUUUCCAAUUUGUCUUAUUCCCCCAGUCUAUCAUACACAUUGCUUUUUAAGUAAUCUUCAUAAAGGAUGGCUCCAAUUUUGUCAGCACCCCCACUGAAAUGUUAUUUCAUAGCAUUUGGGGACUUUCAUUAUCUGUUUGUUUUUUUGCCUUAACUACCAGAAAUGAUUCCAUACUAAAUGUAUUUUCUUCUAUGCAAUUAGAAUCUCUUUACUCUCUAAACCUAUCUGAUAUUUUUCAUCUUCCAAGCUUUUGUCCAAUGCUAUUCCUGUAUUUGUCAGUGUGUGAUCCCACCCAAGUAGUCCUGGGUCAUAAGUAUGUAUAUAGAAUUGAAAUCUGUGUUAAUGUCAUUCUGUGGGAGAACCCAUCUAUAGCUUCCUUCAUGUAACUCACAGAUUGUCUAGAAGGAGGGAUCUAAAAAAUUUGCUGAUUCCAUUCAAGCUGUCCACUGGAUUGUCUUCCAUCUUCCAAACUCCAAGGAAUACCUCCAACCACAUUCCACGAGGAAGUGGGAGAAUGAAGAAUGGGGGUGCCCAUAUUCAAAGCAGUGACCCUGCUCUUCAGCAGUACUUGGUAUCGGUAUUUAGUUGGUUCUAACUUGACCCCCCUCAAAGUUUCCUCUCAGCCAAUAUCCUAGGAAAACCCAUCCUCAUUACACCCGUUAAAUGUUUCAAAAGCCUAUAAAUUUUGUGACUUCUUCUUCUUACAGCUGGGAGUGGUAAGUAUGCCCUUAACAAACCUAUUAGGGAGCUCAACGAAUAAACAGAAAAUUAAAGUUCUACUGCUAAGAUAUUUUAAAACAUGGUCAGCACACAGGAUGGUCAUUUGACUCCACGGGAGAGAUUGUGAAAAAGCUUUAGGAUGGGUUUAACUUCUUUCUUUUCUUCUUUUCCUGAUUUAUUUCAGUCUCUGCUCCACCUCCUCUUUCUCAUUCUGUGUGCGUGUGUGUGUGUCUUAGUAGAUGUGUAGAGAGCAGCAUAUAAAUUGAAUAGAGAUGAAGUUAAAAUGGAGGUUGAGAUUUUUAUUGGAAGGCAUGAAAUAAGAAUUAUAUUUUUCAUUGUUAUAAAAAUGAUUAUGAAUUUGGAAAGACCUUCCAAAUCAAUCAUAUACAGGAUGAAAUAACCCAUAACAGGCACAUAUGGCAAAACAUAUGUGGCCUAAUUAUUGGUCAUACUGUAAAUGGCAGAGAUACCCUGUGAAGGCCUGGAUGGUUAACAAAAAGAAUGACAGAAUUAUUUAAAAUGAUGAAUGAAGUAAGGGGAAGAAGGAAGUGAGAUAAAGUGUGGUAUGUGGAAAAAAAUCUCUAGAUUUAAGUUUCUACUGAGUUCACCCCCCCACCCCCAACUUUGUAAAAUAGGAAUUACAGUUCAUGGCUGCUGCCUGGAUAUAGAGCUUUUGUCAAGAUGAAAUGAGAUAAUAUUUGUGAUAGCAUUUUGAAAAACUCAUGCAUUUUCUACAGAUUACGGUAUUAGUAGCAACUCUUUAAAAGUCAAGGCACUUACCAUAUCUCAAAGUAUUAAAAGAUAAAGUACUUAUUUUCAGAAUUAAGUUUUAGACCAUGUACAAUUAUGCAAUUUUUAGUUUGUUAAAAUGAUUUUUAAGCUUGGAAAAAUUUGGGGACAAUUCUAGAAAGGCUAAAAUUUGGGCUGCUCCUUGACCCAGGUUUCCUAAAUGGUGCCCCAGAUCAAUUGCCUAUAGUUAAGUAGAUGGAGAAAGUGUAGCAUGAUUGUAAAGUUUCAUAAUAAGUCCACGGCAUUAUUAAGGAAUGAUGUAAUGUUAGGUUCUUUUGAUGUAUUAUGUAUUCUUGGCAGGUCUCUUUAGCCAUUUCCAAUUUUGAACACUUUUGCUCUCUUGGUUUCUUUGUUUUCUUACUAAUUGAUUUUAUUUGGGAUAAUAAAAAAGAACCAAAAAAAGCAGCUUAAAAAUAAUUUAAUCCUUCUUUUUAGUUUUAUGUUUUAUCAAUUUUAGUUUUGCUUUUUAUUAUUUAUUUCUUCCUACUCUCUGUUGCGGGAAGUCAGGGACCCCGAACGGAGGGACCAGCUGAAGCCAUGGCAGAAGAAUGUGGAUUGUGAAGAUUUCAUGGACAUUUAUUAGUUCCCCAAAUUAAUACUUUCAUAAUUUCUUACACCUGUUUUUACUGCAAUCUCUGAACAUAAAUUGUGAAGAUUUCAUGGACACUUAUCACUUCCCCAAUCAAUACCCUUGUGAUUUCCUACGCCUGUCUUUACUUUAAUCUCUUAAUCCUGUCAUCUUCAUAAGCCUCAGGACCCUGUGAUGGUUGUGUUAACUGCACAAAUUGUUUGUAGAGCAUGUGUGUUUGUUUGAACAAUAUGAAAUCUGGGCACCUUGAGAAAAGAACAGGAUAACAGCAAUGUUCAGGGAACAAGAGAGAUAACCUUAAACUCUGACUGCCGGUGACCCGGGUGAAACAGAGCCAUAUUUCUCUUCUUUCAAAGGCAAAUGGGAGAAUUGUCGCUGAAUUCUUUUUCUCAGCAAGGAACAUCCCUGAGAAAGAGAAUGCAUCCCUGAGGGUAGGCCUCUGAAAUGGCCGCUUCGGGGGCAGCCGUCUUUUAUGGUCGUAGUUGUAGGGAUGAAAUAAGCCCCAGUCUCCUGUAGUGCUCCCAGGCUAGUAGGAUGAGGAAAUUCCCGCCUAAUAAAUUUUGGUCAGACUGGUUGUCUGCUCUCAAACCCUGUCUCUUGAUAAGAUGUUAUCAAUGACAAUGCGUGCCCGAAACUUCAUUAGCAACUUUAAGUUCGCCCCGGUCCUGUGGUCCUGUGAUCUCGCCCUGGCUCCAUUUGCCUUGUGAUAUUCUAUUACCUUGUGAAGCAUGUGAUCUCUGUGACCCACACCCUAUUCGUACACUCCCUCCCCUUUUGAAAAUCACUAAUAAACACUUGCUGGUUUUGCGGCCUGGGGGGCAUCAUGGAACCUGCCAACAUGUGAUGUCUGCCCCAAGACACCCACCUUUAAAAUUUCUCUCUUUUGUACUCUGUCCCUUUAUUUCUCAGACCAGCCGACACUUAAGGAAAAUAGAAAAGAACCUACAUGAAAUAUCAGGGGUGAAUUUUGCCUGAUAUCUGGCUGAAUUUCCCCUGAUAACUUUCUUUGGUUUUUAAACUUUUUUUAAUUUGAGUAUUUUCUUUAAUAUCUCUUCUUUAAUGCUAUAGUCAUUUUGAUGGUACAUUUUGCUGUCUUUACAUUCUGAUAAGACAGUGUUUUCUGUUUGUUGUUUUCUAGAUAAUGAGUGAUUUCAGUUUUUUAUUUAUUCUUUGACAUUUUAGAAAUAUGUUUCUUAAUUUUCAAAGAGUCAGAAUGUUUGUGGUUAACACUAAAGUUCUUUUUCUAAAUUUUGGGGGAACUAAGGUUAUAGUUUUGGAACUUUAUUAGUUAUUUGGCUAAAUAAAACAGUUUUUAAAGAUUUAGGAAAUUUUCACAGUGUCCUAAAAACAUAUAUUUUAUGAUAGAUUUAUUAAAUAGAGUUGUUGAUUUUAUUUGUUUAAUUCCCCUAUGUCCUUGCUUAUUUUUACUUGCUAGUGCUGUCAGAUUGUUAAAUAGUUAUUAAAAUAUUACCAUUGUUCCCAUUUAGCCUAUUUUCAUUGCAUUUAUAAUACUUUUUGAAUUAAUGUUGAGCAAAUAUUAUUAUAAUAUUGUUUCAAUGUUUAUAUAUAUUUCAUAAAUUAAGCAUUGUAUCAGUAUAUCAUUUUUCUUUUUUACUAUGUUUUGUGUUUUCAUUGAUUUUUGUCUUACUUAUUUGGAUAAAAGUUUUCUGUCUUCCAUUGUCUACUUUUUAGCUUUGUCAAUUUACACAGGUUUUGACAAUGCCCACCCUCUCCUUCAAUUCAUCUCUAGAAUAUUUUUAUUGCAAAACAAUGUUUUCAAUUCUUUGAAGGUUUUUUUUUUUAUGCUGGAACUGAGCAAAUGUCCUUGCUAUUCUUUUUUUUUUUGUUCAAGUGAUCAACUGUUUUUUCAUACAGUUACAUUCCACUUGGAGCAAUUUUUAUAGAAAUGUUGUCUUCCUACUUCCAUAAUGUGGACUUCUUCAUUGAGGAUCAUGUUUAGCAGCUGAGAUAAUUUACACAGAAGGGAUCUUCUAAGUAAAGGCAGGACUAGCAUCUGUCCCUAUAGGCCAGCUGCUACAGACCUGAAAAUUGUCAUUCCUCUGUUAGGGCAUCAGAUGCAAAGGCUGUCACCCUCUAGCUCUCAAGAUUCAGGCAGAAUCUGCUGGCUUUUUAGCUCUCUGCAGCUCUCCUGUAGCCAGAUCACCCCAGGAUACUCAUGAGGCUUAGCUACUCCUCCAUUCAGGGCAAGAUUGCAACUUACAGUUGUGUUUUGAAGGAAAAUAAAUACAGGCCAAAUUCUUGCUUUUGCUCUGCUCCCCAAGCCUGAACACCAGCAUUAGACUAUGUACAGGGGCACCUAGUUUUUUAUAUAAAGAGCGCUUUCUGCUUAGCAAGCUGUCUGCCCAGAGGAGGGAUUUUAUUUUGAAUCACCCAUCGGAAAUAAGCACCUUUUCCUAGUUUCCCAGAGGCAGUGUGUAGGCCAGUGAAGGCCCUCCCUUUGGCGUCUACAAAUCUUCUUAUACAAAAUGUUCUCUCUUUCUCCCUCUCUGUCUGUCUGUCAUGAAUCAUUACCCUGGAAUUCUCAACUGCAAGUCUCCUGGCUCAUUUUAGGAUCCAGGACUGAAAGAAAAAAGGAUGAGAAUCCUUUACUAGCGCUAGCCAUCCUGGACCCUCACAGUUUCAAAAGUCUUACUUGGGCCCUCCAGACCACUUCCUUGAGACUCUAGAGUCAGUUUAGCUCAGAAGAAGUAAUUAAUUAUUAAAUUGGAGUUGAAUGGGUAUGAACAACACAGACUCAUUUAGGAAGCCGUUUUUGCAGCAUCCUAUAGAAUCUCUCUGGAUUUUGAAUUCUUAAAGGCUGUUUAAGUAUCAACUAUGGCAGAGUAUAAACUAAAUAACAUUCAUUUCAUGCAUGCCAGACUCACCUGGCACGUCUCUUUUACUUGCUUUGUCAGUCUAGCCACUCCAACUUCUUUUAGUGCCUCCUCAAAUAUUCUGUGCUUCUUAAAGACCCAAAGGUCUUGAUUCAUGUAAUCUGUUCCUUUUACAUUGCUCUCCAUACUGCAUUUCUCAGACCAGGAUACUCAUUCCAGGUAGGCUUUCUUGAAGACCUCAGCCAGGUGAGGGCUGUGGACUAGGCCACCCUCUGCAUUACACCUAUCAUAGCAUCUGGUAUGAGCAUCCAUCUCUUGCCCUAGAUUGCAAGCUCCAUGCAGACACAAGACCAUAUCUGUUCUAUUUCUCCUUGUGUCUACAGCAACUAACUGAAACAGUGCUUAAACAGUAGAAACCAAUGGGGUUUUUCGCAUGACUAAAACCAGGAAGAAACCCAGGUGCUGCAUGAAAGUUUUUCUAAGAGAUCAAAAAUCUCAAGAAUAUUUGAAGAUAAAAUUUGGUGGUUGUUAAGUGAAGGAAUCUCAUGCUAAACGUUCUUACAUUAAGAAAUGGCAUUGCCCAACAUAUUGCUGUGAAAAAAUUCAAACAUACUGCCAAGUUAAACUUAUAGUGAUCAUCCAAUACGCCUAGUUUCUACCAUUAGAAUUUGGCAUUGCUUGUUUUAUUACAAAUCUGUCCAUCUACCUAUUCCUAUAUCUAUCUUUUAAUUCAUAAUAUUCAAUAAAUUGCAAAGUAAAUUGCAGACUUAAGUACAUUUCUCCUUAAAUAUUUCUAUGUACAUUAUUAAUUAUAGUUAAAACUUUUUAAUUUUUUUACUCUUUUGAAGUAAUAAUUCACAGACAAUGAAAUGCACAAAUCUUAACUAUUAAUUUACUCAGUUUUUGAUGAACGCACACACAUGUCACACAAAUACAAUAUCAACAUAUAUAGAUUAUUAUCACCUCAGAGAGUUACUGCAUACCCUUUCUGAAAGUCAUUUGUAAAAAUAGUAUAAUACUACACUGCAUUUUUCACUAAACUCUUAUAAAUUUAAAUGAGUGAUAAAGAAAUACAUAAAGAUAGUAAUACAACCAAGCAACACUACUAUUGGACAAUGUAAUUUAAUUUAGCUGAAAUCUUAAAAAAUUAAGAGAAUGUAUCCUUUAUAAUCUGUAAUAUGCUUUUUUUAGUGACUUCUUCCUCCAUAAUUAUCUAAGUUCCUACUAUUUUUGAGGAUUUCACCUUAGUAGAAAAAGAAAGAUAUCCGUUUGAACUCUUUCAAUACAUGAAUCAGGCUGAUAGUCUCACCUCCUUUUAAGGAGGCUUUUGCGAAUAGUGGAUAGAGCAUAGAUUUUGGUGAAUAAUCUAUUUUAUCCAGGUGAAUGACUUUAGUAAGUUAUAUAACUUUUUGAUACAUAGUUUCAUUAUUUGUAAAAUGUAGAAUAUAAUACUCACAGAAUUUGGGGAGUGAUUGAGAAGUAAGUGUCGAUCAUGAAAUGAAAUAAUACACUAUAAAACUGAAAUCUAGUUCAUUUUUCUCUUAUCUUUGAGCUCCUUAUAUUUGGGUGCUUUAUGUGUUAAAAGAUUAUAAAACAAAAUUAAUCUAUGCUUAGGGCAAUGGCAGGAAGAGAAAAAUGAAGAUGUUUUUAAGUUUUUUAACAUAAGCACCAAAACCUAUAUUAUUUUUACUAUACCCUGAAGCCUUCUUAAAAAGAGGUAAGACUAAAAGUCUUAUCUAUUUAUCUAUCUAUCUAUCUAUCUAUCUAUCUAUCUAUCUAUCUACCUAUCUAUCUAUCAUCUCUCUAUCUAAACAGAGUGUGUGUUUUUCAGGAUACCUUCGAUUUAUACCACAUAGGUACCUCUAUGUAUGACACUGCCAAAUGAUCCUCUAAUUAAGUGCUUUGAAUCUCAGAAAAGUUUGUUUUCAAUUACUUCAUAAUGCUAUUGUAGAAAAAAAGAAAAGAAAAAAAGAGUGGCUCUAGAGCAAGGUGGCUCAGAAAUGAUUCUCCAGAAUGCUUGUCUUCGUAUCUCUAUCAACUACUACAUGCGUAAUAGUGGGCCAGUUACCACCAUCCUGUGCCUCAAGUUGUUUUUUUUUAAUGUGUAAAAGACAAGCAAUAAUAUUUCUUACUUCAUUGUGCUGUUGCAUUGAUAUACUGUCUUUAUGUAAGUUCUUAGAAUACUACCUGGCAUAUAGUAAAGCCUCAAUAACAUGAGUUGUUAUUAUUAAAAACAGGCAGACAUAGGUUGAAAUAUAUCACUUAUAUUCUGUGUGACCUUGAACAAGUUACUUCUCUGAGAUUGUUAACAUAUUAGUACACAUAAUUAACAAAAUAUGAAAUAAUAAUAUUUGGAGGACAGUGUCACAUAGUCAGUGACUAAUAAUUGUUUUUGUUGCACUUUUCUGUUUUAAAUCAAGAUUUUAUCUUGAUUGAAAAUUAGAUUUUUCAAACACAUUGAUGCCUACAAUGACUGUUUCACCAGCUACUGAAGACCAGAAUUUUGGGAACCUUUGCCCCAGAGAAACCAUAAACACUGGCCAGAGAGAAUUAAAUUAAGAAAUGUUAGAUCACAUUUAAUUCUACUGCAUUAGCAUUAAUUUUGCCAUAUCUUUUUAGAAAAAUGCUGGGGAUUAGAUGCAUUAUUACAUUUAUUAUUCUAAUUAUUAUUAUUGUUGUUUGUUGGGUUCUUGAGAGUGCUUUUAUUUCCCUUCUUACUUUUCAUAUAAUAAAUGGCUUUGGAGUUUACCUUACAUGAUGGGUAUAUUUUUAAAAUAUUAUAUCUUUGUUUUUAUAAUUCUAUUUAAAAUUAUUUUGUUAUAGAUGAUACAAUUUCUUUUCUAUAAUGUUCUAUGUGUAGCUAAUAUUAUUUGCCAAUUUUGACAAAACUGUAAAAUUACUGUCUUAUACUUUUGCUACUAGUGUCUAUUACAAAUAGAUUUUUAAACUGAGAUUUUUUAAAAAGGAAAAAAAUAAAGAGC
rnacentral:lncRNA from 1 species